CCUACGGGUGGCAGCAGUGAGGAAUAUUGGUCAAUGGACGGGAGUCUGAACCAGCCAAGUAGCGUGAAGGAUGACUGCCCUAUGGGUUGUAAACUUCUUUUAUCUGGGAAUAAAACGAGGCACGUGUGCGGUUUUGCAUGUACUCUAUGACUAAGGAUCGGCUAACUCCGUGCCAGCAGCCGCGGUAAUACGGAGGAUCCGAGCGUUAUCCGGAUUUAUUGGGUUUAAAGGGAGCGUAGAUGGAUUGUUAAGUCAGUUGUGAAAGUUUGCGGCUCAACCGUAAAAUUGCAGUUGAUACUGGCAGUCUUGAGUACAGUAGAGGUAGGCGGAAUUCGUGGUGUAGCGGUGAAAUGCUUAGAUAUCACGAAGAACCCCGAUUGCGAAGGCAGCUUACUAAACUGUAACUGACACUGAUGCUCGAAAGUGUGGGUAUCAAACAGGAUUAGAUACCCUGGUAGUC
rnacentral:rRNA from 1 species